rnacentral:rRNA from 1 species
ACGGGGUGCAGCAGGCGCGAAAACUUCGCAAUGUGCUAACGCACGACGAGGCUACUCUGAGUGCUAUCCGCUGAGGGUAGCUUUUCUUAGGUCUAAAUAGCCUGGGGAAUAAGGGGAGGGCAAGCCUGGUGUCAGCCGCCGCGGUAAUACCAGCUCCCCGAGUGGUUAGGGUGUUUAUUGGGCCUAAAGCAUCCGUAGCCUGCUUUGUAGGUCUCCUGUUAAAUUCAACGGCUCAACCGUUGAGCUGCUGGAGAUACCGCAAGGCUAGGAGGCGGGAGAGGCGGACGGUACUCCGCGGGUAGGGGCAAAAUCCUCUGAUCCACGGAAGACCACCAGUGGCGAAGGCGGUCCGCCAGAACGCGCUCGACGGUGAGGGAUGAAAGCUGGGGGAGCGAACCGGAUUAGAUACCCGGGUAGUCCCAGCUGUAAACGAUGCGAGCUAAGUGAUGGAGUGACUGCGCGUCACUCCAGUGCUGCAGGGAAGCCGUUAAGCUCGCCGCCUGGGGAGUACGGUCGCAAGACUGAAACUUGAAGGAAUUGGCGGGGGAGCAC